rnacentral:SRP_RNA from 1 species
GAUUGGUGGCUGCGCGGCGGAACCUUCCGAACCCCGCCAGGGCCGGAAGGCAGCAACGGUAAGGUCUGGUCUCCGGGUGUCGCGGCACGCUGGUCCUC